GCCUAGUUAGCUUGGUUGGUAGCGGCCGCCUCGUAAGCGCUAGGCCGCGGGUUCGAUUGCCGCCCGGGGCA
rnacentral:tRNA from 1 species